UUGAAACUUCGGUCGAUUAAUUCUAGUGGCGGACGGGUGAGUAACGCGUGGGUACCUGCCUUAACAGGGGGAUAACAGUCAGAAAUGGCUGCUAAUACCGCAUAAGGCUGCAUGGCAAAAACUCCGGUGGUAUAAGAUGGACCCGCGUUGGAUUAGCUAGUUGGUGGGGUAACGGCCCACCAAGGCGACGAUCCAUAGCCGGCCUGAGAGGGUGAACGGCCACAUUGGGACUGAGACACGGCCCAGACUCCUACGGGAGGCAGCAGUGGGGAAUAUUGCACAAUGGGGGAAACCCUGAUGCAGCGACGCCGCGUGAAGGAAGAAGUAUCUCGGUAUGUAAACUUCUAUCAGCAGGGAAGAUAGUGACGGUACCUGACUAAGAAGCCCCGGCUAACUACGUGCCAGCAGCCGCGGUAAUACGUAGGGGGCAAGCGUUAUCCGGAUUUACUGGGUGUAAAGGGAGCGUAGACGGUGUGGCAAGUCUGAUGUGAAAGGCAUGGGCUCAACCUGUGGACUGCAUUGGAAACUGUCAUACUUGAGUGCCGGAGGGGUAAGCGGAAUUCCUAGUGUAGCGGUGAAAUGCGUAGAUAUUAGGAGGAACACUAGUGGCGAAGGCGGCUUACUGGACGGUAACUGACGUUGAG
rnacentral:rRNA from 1 species